CUUUCUUCAUCAAUCCCUCUCUUCCGUCUUCUCUCACGUCCCACUCCCGUCACCCACGGCGGCGGCACGACCAAACCCAGCCAUGAGUUCCACCACCAACAGCAACCACUUCUCCUCCUCCCUUUAUUGUUGGAGACGACAUCAUUGAGGAACCUUUCUAAUUAUCGUGGAGAAACGGACUUCGCUUCUUGAAGCGUUAUUGCUGAUUACAGAUCGGAUUCGGUCGGGAAUAAUCGGGUUAGCAAUGUUGAUGAGAGUGCUAAGGAUGUCCUUUUGAGCUGAGACCAUGGAAGCUUAUAGUUUGUAUUAGGAAUUUGUUUAAUGUAUAUUAGUUCUGAUUAUGUUGAUUAUAAUGGACUCGUAGUGAGUUGUAUGGUUACUUUAUGUUUAGAUUAGAUAUUUGGUUUGA